UAACACUAACUGGAGGACCGAACCGACUAAUGUUGAAAAAUUAGCGGAUGACCUGUGGCUGGGGGUGAAAGGCCAAUCAAACCGGGAGAUAGCUGGUUCUCCCCGAAAGCUAUUUAGGUAGCGCCUCGUGAAUUCAUCUCCGGGGGUAGAGCACUGUUUCGGCUAGGGGGCCAUCCCGGCUUACCAACCCGAUGCAAACUGCGAAUACCGGAGAAUGUUAUCACGGGAGACACACGGCGGGUGCUAACGUCCGUCGUGAAGAGGGAAACAACCCAGACCGCCAGCUAAGGUCCCAAAGUCAUGGUUAAGUGGGAAACGAUGUGGGAAGGCCCAGACAGCCAGGAUGUUGGCUUAGAAGCAGCCAUCAUUUAAAGAAAGCGUAAUAGCUCACUGGUCGAGUCGGCCUGCGCGGAAGAUGUAACGGGGCUAAACCAUGCACCGAAGCUGCGGCAGCGAACGUAUCACCCAAGACAACUUUACGGAGUUGACGAUUGACGGAGCGAAGCGACGUCAAAGCGUUCAUUAAAGUCGAGUUGGCUUAGGGAUACGUUCGUUGGGUAGGGGAGCGUUCUGUAAGCCUGUGAAGGUGUGUCGUGAGGCAUGCUGGAGGUAUCAGAAGUGCGAAUGCUGACAUAAGUAACGAUAAAGCGGGUGAAAAGCCCGCUCGCCGGAAGACCAAGGGUUCCUGUCCAACGUUAAUCGGGGCAGGGUGAGUCGACCCCUAAGGCGAGGCCGAAAGGCGUAGUCGAUGGGAAACGGGUUAAUAUUCCCGUACUUGGUGUUACUGCGAAGGGGGGACGGAGAAGGCUAUGUUGGCCGGGCGACGGUUGUCCCGGUUUAAGCGUGUAGGUGUGUGUUCCAGGUAAAUCCGGUUCACUUUAACACUGAGGCGUGACGACGAGGCACUACGGUGCUGAAGCAACAAAUGCCCUGCUUCCAGGAAAAGCCUCUAAGCAUCAGGUAACAUCAAAUCGUACCCCAAACCGACACAGGUGGUCAGGUAGAGAAUACCAAGGCGCUUGAGAGAACUCGGGUGAAGGAACUAGGCAAAAUGGUGCCGUAACUUCGGGAGAAGGCACGCUGACACGUAGGUGAAGUGAUUUACUCAUGGAGCUGAAGUCAGUCGAAGAUACCAGCUGGCUGCAACUGUUUAUUAAAAACACAGCACUGUGCAAACACGAAAGUGGACGUAUACGGUGUGACGCCUGCCCGGUGCCGGAAGGUUAAUUGAUGGGGUCAGCGCAAGCGAAGCUCCUGAUCGAAGCCCCGGUAAACGGCGGCCGUAACUAUAACGGUCCUAAGGUAGCGAAAUUCCUUGUCGGGUAAGUUCCGACCUGCACGAAUGGCGUAAUGAUGGCCAGGCUGUCUCCACCCGAGACUCAGUGAAAUUGAACUCGCUGUGAAGAUGCAGUGUACCCGCGGCAAGACGGAAAGACCCCGUGAACCUUUACUAUAGCUUGACACUGAACAUUGAGCCUUGAUGUGUAGGAUAGGUGGGAGGCUUUGAAGUGUGGACGCCAGUCUGCAUGGAGCCGACCUUGAAAUACCACCCUUUAAUGUUUGAUGUUCUAACGUGGACCCGUAAUCCGGGUUGCGGACAGUGUCUGGUGGGUAGUUUGACUGGGGCGGUCUCCUCCUAAAGAGUAACGGAGGAGCACGAAGGUUGGCUAAUCCUGGUCGGACAUCAGGAGGUUAGUGCAAUGGCAUAAGCCAGCUUGACUGCGAGCGUGACGGCGCGAGCAGGUGCGAAAGCAGGUCAUAGUGAUCCGGUGGUUCUGAAUGGAAGGGCCAUCGCUCAACGGAUAAAAGGUACUCCGGGGAUAACAGGCUGAUACCGCCCAAGAGUUCAUAUCGACGGCGGUGUUUGGCACCUCGAUGUCGGCUCAUCACAUCCUGGGGCUGAAGUAGGUCCCAAGGGUAUGGCUGUUCGCCAUUUAAAGUGGUACGCGAGCUGGGUUUAGAACGUCGUGAGACAGUUCGGUCCCUAUCUGCCGUGGGCGCUGGAGAACUGAGGGGGGCUGCUCCUAGUACGAGAGGACCGGAGUGGACGCAUCACUGGUGUUCGGGUUGUCAUGCCAAUGGCACUGCCCGGUAGCUAAAUGCGGAAGAGAUAAGUGCUGAAAGCAUCUAAGCACGAAACUUGCCCCGA
rnacentral:rRNA from 1 species